GAUGAACGCUAGCGGCGUGCCUAAUACAUGCAAGUCGAGCGAACAGAUGAGGAGCUUGCUCCUCUGACGUUAGCGGCGGACGGGUGAGUAACACGUGGAUAACCUACCUAUAAGACUGGGAUAACUUCGGGAAACCGGAGCUAAUACCGGAUAAUAUAUUGAACCGCAUGGUUCAAAAGUGAAAGACGGUUUUGCUGUCACUUAUAGAUGGAUCCGCGCCGCAUUAGCUAGUUGGUAAGGUAACGGCUUACCAAGGCAACGAUGCGUAGCCGACCUGAGAGGGUGAUCGGCCACACUGGAACUGAGACACGGUCCAGACUCCUACGGGAGGCAGCAGUAGGGAAUCUUCCGCAAUGGGCGAAAGCCUGACGGAGCAACGCCGCGUGAGUGAUGAAGGUCUUCGGAUCGUAAAACUCUGUUAUUAGGGAAGAACAAAUGUGUAAGUAACUAUGCACGUCUUGACGGUACCUAAUCAGAAAGCCACGGCUAACUACGUG
rnacentral:rRNA from 1 species